AUUGAACGCUGGCGGCAUGCCUAACACAUGCAAGUCGAACGGAAACGGCAUUAACAAUCCCUUCGGGGUGCGUUUUUGGACGUCGAGUGGCGGACGGGUGAGUAAUACAUAGGAAUCUACCCAGUAGCGGGGGACAACUUGGGGAAACUCAAGCUAAUACCGCAUACGCCCUACGGGGGAAAGCGGGGGACCUUCGGGCCUCGCACUAUUGGAUGAGCCUAUGUCUGAUUAGCUUGUUGGUGGGGUAAUGGCUUACCAAGGCAACGAUCAGUAGCUGGUCUGAGAGGACGAUCAGCCACACUGGGACUGAGACACGGCCCAGACUCCUACGGGAGGCAGCAGUGGGGAAUAUUGCACAAUGGGCGGAAGCCUGAUGCAGCAAUGCCGCGUGUGUGAAGAAGGCCUGCGGGUUGUAAAGCACUUUCAGUAGGGAGGAAACAGUAACGGGUUAAUACCCCGGUACCUUGACGUUACCUACAGAAGAAGCACCGGCUAACUCUGUG
rnacentral:rRNA from 1 species